rnacentral:sRNA from 1 species
AUCAAAAUAACAAGAAGAGAUAACCUUUUAAUCACUGACUAUUUUAUUUAGUCGCCAACUUUAACUACAAUCAAACUUGUUAUUUUGUAGCCUGAUGGCGGUACAGCGAGUUGAGACGACAACUGGGUAUGCAGGUUCGAUUCCUGCCGUCUCAAUCAGCGCCCAGAAGAGGCGCGACCCAGUAUCCCGAAAGGCAGUCACGCACUGAUAUACUGGUUUUUACUUGGUUGAUAGUCAUAUUCCUACCAAUGACGAUUGAUAAAAAAGAUACAUAGAUCGGCUGUAUAGUCUACGUGUACGUAUUCACAACAGAUUGACUCAUUUGAUUAACCGCAAGUAAAACAAGGGUCGCAACCUUGCCUGUGGUUAGUAGGCUUAAUGGUCGUUUAUGCACGUUCGAUUCGUGCAAAGCCUGUU